rnacentral:rRNA from 1 species
CAGAGCUAACCCGUCUCUGUUGCAAAAGAGUGGGAAAAUUUUCAAGUAGAGGUGACAGACCUACCGAACUUAGAGAUAGCUGGUUUUUUAAGAAAAGAAUUUUAGUUCUACUUUAAAUUUUUAUGUUAAACAAAAAUACAAUUGAAUUUAAAAGUUAUUCAAAUAAGGCACAGCUUAUUUGAAAUAGGAUACAACCUAGACCCCAGGGUAAGAUAAACAAAAUUUUGAUAAGUGGGCCUAAAAGCAGCCAUCUUUUAAAAAGCGUCAAAGCUUAGUAAUUAUAAUUUAUUUAAUAACUACAACUAUCUCUAACCCCCAUCUACUAUUAAAAAACUCCAUAACACUAUGGAAGCUAUUAUGCUAGAACAAGUAACAAGAAAAAGACUUUCUCCAAAAUGUAAGCUUAAGCCAUAAUAGACACCCUACUGGCAAUUAACACUUAUAAACCCUCUGUAACAACCCUGACAAGAAAACCUUACACCCUAUAAUGUUAACCUUACACCAG